rnacentral:rRNA from 1 species
GAANUCCGAUUGCGAAGGCAGCUUGCUGGACUGUAACUGACGCUGAGGCACGAAAACGUGGGGAUCAAACAGGAUUAGAUACCCUGGUAGNCCACGCCGUAAACGAUGAAUGCUAGCUGUUAGCGAUAUACUGUUAGCGGCACAGAGAAAUCGUUAAGCNUUCCACCUGGGGAGUACGCCGGCAACGGUGAAACUCAAAGGAAUUGACGGGGGCCCGCACAAGCGGAGGAACAUGUGGUUUAAUUCGAUGAUACGCGAGGAACCUUACCUGGGCUUAAAUUGCAGUGGAAUAACGUGGAAACAUGUUAGCCUUCGGGCCGCUGUGAAGGUGCUGCAUGGUUGUCGUCAGCUCGUGCCGUGAGGUGUCGGCUUAAGUGCCAUAACGAGCGCAACCCUCAUCGAUAGUUACUAACAGGUUAAGCUGAGGACUCUAUCGAGACUGCCGACGUAAGUCGUGAGGAAGGUGGGGAUGACGUCAAAUCAGCACGGCCCUUACGUCCAGGGCUACACACGUGUUACAAUGGGGGGUACAAAGGGCAGCUACCUGGCGACAGGAUGCUAAUCUCAAAAACCUCUCUCAGUUCGGAUUGGAGUCUGCAACCCGACUCCAUGAAGCUGGAUUCGCUAGUAAUCGCGCAUCAGCCACGGCGCGGUGAAUACGUUCCCGGGCCUUGUACACACCGCCCGUCAAGCCAUGGGAGCCGGGGGGACCUGAAGUAUGCAACCGUAAGGAGCGUCCUAGGGUAAAACUGGUGACUGGGGCU